CGCUCCAUGGCCGGCUCCUCUGUGCCUCUUCUCUCUGUGUCUCUCUUCUGUCUCUUAGAAGGACAUUGGUGAAUGCAUUUAGACCCCCAGGCCCCACCCCCCGAUAACCCAGGAAAAGCACCUCUUAAGAUCCCUAUGUUUAUCACAGCUUUUGCCUCAGAGGUGACAUUCGAAGCGCUGGGGUUUUGCACAGAUUUUGGGGGAGGUCUUAAUCAGCUCAGGUGGCCAUAGCAGAAAACCACACACGGGCAACCCGAGCAGCAGACAUAGGUUUGUUGAGCAGCAGACACAGGAAGCUCCCACCACUCUGGGGUGGAAGCCGGAGAUCCUGGCACCAGCUGACUGGCCUCCUAGUGAGGGCCCUUCCUGGUUUCCCGGUGCGACAGAGAAAGGGGAGGGCAGCCCUCUCCUAUGAGGGCACUGAUCCCACUGGGAGGACCCCACUCCACACACCGCAGCACUGGGGUUGGGGUUCCACCCGUGACUCCUGCAGGAGCACAAACGUGCAGCCAAUAGACCACAUGCCUCUGGGCAGCAAAGGUCCCCUGUCACCUGCACUGCAUUCUCCCGGUGCUGCCUCUGAGGACAAGGCUGGCUCCAGCGGGCUCAGUGCUGACUACCAGGAUGCAGGAGGCCUGCCCGCUCGCCAUAGCUGCGAAGCCGGCUGAUUACAUUUCAGGCUUUUGUUUAUUCCCCAUCCCAACCCGCUCCUUCAUCCACACAGACUGCUCGGACCUGGACUCAGGCCAGGCUGGACACCAGGCAGACGGAGGGACGUCCCCAGCAGCCAGCUCCCUCUGUCCGAGCAGACGGAGGGACGUCCCCAGCAGCCAGCUCCCUGUGUCCAAACAGACGGAGGGACGUCCCUAGCAGCCAGCUCCCUCUGUCUGAGCAGAUGGAGGGACGUCCCCAGCAGCCGGCUCCCUCUGUCCUAGCCCUGGGAAGGUGGGGUCCUCCAGAGCUCCCCUCCGCAGCCCCAGCCACUCCCAUGCUCCAGCUCCUGCCCCCUCCCGGGGCUCUAUCUCCCCACAGAGAAAGGGGGUCCCUCCGCUGGGCAGGCACAGCCUCCUUCCAGGCCUUGUUACGGGCACCUGCACACGUGCCUGUGCCACCUAAGCUGUGCCCGCGCCACCUAAGCUCUGCCCGCCACCUCGGCAGAUGCCAGGGUCCACAGGAAGGCAUUGGGUGCAACAGUCACUCAGCUGUUGUGUUUUCUUUCUCUUAGCCACAGUCUAGUCCUAGCAGCAGUGACCUUGGUUUGGAGCCCGGGUUGGGGACCCCAGUGAUGCCAAUUUUCUUUGCCCUCAUCAUCCCAAGGCGGCUGCUGCAGUUUCAGACAUCACAACUUUGUUCAGCGCAAAGGAGAAGGGGGACAGGGGAUGAGAAAACUGGAGUUCGGAGAUGGGCUUGCUCACGGCCUCACAGCCAGGGAGCCUGCUCACCCCAGUGUGUGCCCAGCCAGAAACCUGCGUCUGGGCCCCCAGAGGCUGGGCUCCUCACAGUGGGGACCCACCAUGUCCACUGCCUGCAGGAACCGACAGAGAGGCUGUGAUGCUGAGCCCCGGCCUCAUGCAACAAAGCUUUGCCCGACGGAAUGCACCCAGCGGCAGUGGAGAGCAGUGCUGGAUCCUGCGGGGUUGAGGCGGUGGAGCUUGAUGGCGGAAAGAGAGGCAGAGGUGGUGUACUAGGCUGUUCUUGCAUUGCUAUAAAGAAAACCUGAGACUGGGUAAUUUAUAAAGAAAAGAGGGUUAAUUGGCUCAUGGUUUUGUAG
rnacentral:lncRNA from 1 species